rnacentral:rRNA from 1 species
UACGUAGGGGGCAAGCGUUGUCCGGAUUUAUUGGGCGUAAAGAGCGUGUAGGCGGUUAUACAGGUCCGCUGUGAAAACUGGAGGCUUAACCUCCAGACGUCGGUGGAAACCGUAUGACUAGAGUCCGGAAGAGGAGAGUGGAAUUCCUGGUGUAGCGGUGAAAUGCGCAGAUAUCAGGAAGAACACCCGUGGCUAAGGCGGCUCUCUAGUACGGUACUGACGCUGAGACGCGAAAGCGUGGGGAGCGAACAGG